rnacentral:rRNA from 1 species
AACGAACGCUGGCGGCAGGCUUAACACAUGCAAGUCGAACGCCCCGCAAGGGGAGUGGCGCACGGGUGAGUAACGCGUGGGAAUAUGCCCUUUAGUGCGGAACAACGUCGGGAAACUGACGCUAAUACCGCAUAAUGUCUACGGACCAAAGAUUUAUCGCUAAAGGAGUAGCCCGCGUCUGAUUAGCUAGUUGGUGAGGUAAUGGCUCACCAAGGCUACGAUCAGUAGCUGGUCUGAGAGGAUGAUCAGCCACACUGGGACUGAGACACGGCCCAGACUCCUACGGGAGGCAGCAGUGAGGAAUAUUGGACAAUGGGGGAAACCCUGAUCCAGCCAUGCCGCGUGAGUGAUGAAGGCCUCGGUUGUAAGUACGUCUUCGGUAGGUACGAGUGAUGACGGUACUACCACGAAGAAGACCCGG